GCCUGGGUGGCUCAUUCGGUGAAGCGCCCGACUUCGGCUCGGGUCACGGGGUCACGAUCUAACGGUUCGUGGGUUCGAGCCCCGCGUCGGGCC
rnacentral:tRNA from 1 species